AUGAACGCUAGCGGCAGGCUUAACACAUGCAAGUCGAGGGGCAGCGCGAUGUAGCAAUACAUUGGCGGCGACCGGCGCACGGGUGCGUAACACGUAUGGAACUUGCCCUUUACUGGGAGAUAGCCCUCCGAAAGGAGGAUUAAUAUCCCAUAAUAAACGAGGUGGCAUCACCUUGUUUUGAAAGCUCCGGCGGUAAAGGAUGGCCAUGCGCACGAUUAGCUAGUUGGUGAGGUAAUGGCUCACCAAGGCUACGAUCGUUAGGGGGCCUGAGAGGGUUAUCCCCCACACUGGUACUGAGACACGGACCAGACUCCUACGGGAGGCAGCAGUGAGGAAUAUUGCGCAAUGGAGGCAACUCUGACGCAGCCAUGCCGCGUGCAGGAAGAGGGCGCUACGCGUUGUAAACUGCUUUUAACCGGGAAGAAACCCCAGGACGUGUCCUGGGUUGACGGUACCGGAGGAAUAAGCACCGGCUAACUUCGUGCCAGCAGCCGCGGUAAUACGAAGGGUGCAAGCGUUAUCCGGAUUCAUUGGGUUUAAAGGGUGCGUAGGCGGGGCGUUAAGUCAGUGGUGAAAUCCUGCAGCUCAACUGUAGACUUGCCAUUGAUACUGACGCUCUUGAGUGCGCUUGAAGUAGGCGGAAUGUGCCGUGUAGCGGUGAAAUGCUUAGAUAUGGCACAGAACACCGAUUGCGAAGGCAGCUUACUAAGGCGAUACUGACGCUGAGGCACGAAAGCGUGGGGAUCGAACAGGAUUAGAUACCCUGGUAGUCCACGCCGUAAACGAUGAUCACUCGUCAUUGGCGAUACACUGUCAGUGACCUAGCGAAAGCGUUAAGUGAUCCACCUGGGGAGUACGAUCGCAAGAUUGAAACUCAAAGGAAUUGACGGGGGCCCGCACAAGCGGUGGAGCAUGUGGUU
rnacentral:rRNA from 1 species